UCUUUCUCUUUCUCUCUCUCUCUCAUUCACAUUUGUACACCGAAGGCAGAAGAAUUCAAUUCCUUUCUCUUAUAGAUCCACUUCAACCUCCGAGCAGUCGCAUUUCUUGGCAGUUUUCUCUUCAGUUUUCUCGGGAAAAAGGAAAAAAGAGAAAGCAAAAGAAGCCAUGAAAACUGUAAAUUCCAUAGGGAAUGUGUCAGCUUUAGGUAUCCUGUGAAGAGACUGAAACGACACAGUUUUAAAAAAAUCCCACCUUUAUGUUCGUUUUGGGAGGCAACAGAGCUUUUCUCUAGGACUAUCUCGUUCUUAACAAUGCAGAACGGGAUCUUUAUAUUUCGAGGUUCUCUAUUUUUCUCUCUUUUUUUUGAAUAUAAAAUAAUAUAUAUUUUUUAAUUUCUUUGUUUUUGAUCUUUUGAGCUGUUUAUAAAACCCCUAAGCUUUGGUCAAAACUUGAAACCAUUUUUCUUGUCCAUUUUGAUGAGGUGCUUUUAUAUGGGUUUUUAUUUUUUCGGCUGAUUAGAAGACACGGAUGGGAGGGUUUUGUAAAUGUGGGUAUUUUAUUUUGAGCUAAUACUGGUGGAAUUAGUAGUGUAAAUUUGAGGUGCUAAGUGUUAAAAGCCAAGAUCUGUGUUGGUGUAGCUUCAAGAUUAUGGUUGAUGAAUGCAGUUUACUAGAACUAGAUAACCCAUAUAUGGUUUUGAUAUUUGAGCCUUUGGUGCUGAUUUAAUGUGCAGCAACUGACAGAAAAAAUGGGGGUCUUAGUGAAUUCCCUAGGUGGAUGUUUUGGGGUUCGUUCAAUUUUGGGGAAGAUUUGAACGAAGUGGGAAGUAGUUAAGUUUGCAAAAUUGGGGUACUUUUGAGGUAGGGAGCUCAAGAUCUCUUGAAAAUCAUUGUUGGGUAUAAGGUGUGUUGACAAUGUCAGGAGCUCCACGAGUGAGGUCAAUGAAUGUGGCUGAUUCUGAGACCAGGCCUGUGUUAGGACCCACUGGAAACAACAAGGCAGCGUCUUUGAGUGCACGGAAACCUGCUUCCAAACAAUUGAGAAAGGUUGAAACAUCGCCUGAGGAAGUUACAUUAGGUGAAGAGAAGAAGGCACUUGUGGUGUCUACUGUCAAUACUCUAUCGCCCAAAUCGCAUUCUGUUAGUGCUUCUUCUGUGCUUCGUCGCCAUGAGCAGUUGUUGCAUUCGAAUUUAUCACUGAACGCUUCUUGUUCAUCUGAUGCCUCCACGGAUUCAUUCCAUAGCCGAGCAUCUACAGGGAGGUUGACACGGUCCAUUAGUUUGGGAAGUAGGAGGAAGCCAUAUGCUUCAAAACCAAGAAGUGUCGUCUCUGAUGGGAGUUUAGAAUCUCCACCACCUUCCUGCGGUUCACAGACCAAGAAGAGUUGUGCAUGGGUAACACCAAACACUGGUGCGUUCUUGAUUUUAGAGUUAUUCAUUGGCAUCAUGUGGUAGCAUACAUAAUAAAGAUGCUCAUAUUAGUGUCAUAACAUGGCAUUUAAGUUUGUCUUUGAAAACAAUAUAAAAUCUGAAUGGGAGUGUGUUUGAAGAUCAAUCUUGUUAAUGGUAGAAUAGGACUUAAGUGGUUUCAUUUGGAACUUGGAAGUGCUGUUAUGCUUGCCUCUUAUGUUUCACAAUCCUGAAAAUGUAAAGUUGGGUCUGGUUAGUAUGAUACAAAUGUUAUGGGACUGGCAGAUCUUUGUCAAUACAUAUUCUAAUUAGGUCGUUUUGUUUGGAACGGUUUGUUUCUUUCAUCAGCCCUUAAGUUAACCAACCUGUCUAGGAUCUUGUCUUGUUUUUUCAAUUCCCCCAAAACAGAAAUGUUUUUAAGUUUUGAUGGCUUAAGGCCACUAGAAAAAGCCAGCUAAAGUGUUUCUCUAUUAGUUAGAUUUUAACAGUAUUCAGGAGUCAGGACACUCUGUGGCCUGAUGCAGGUCUUGUUUAACAUGUAAUUUAUUGAAGUGUACUUAUUAAUUUAGUACAAUUUUAUAUAUAUGCAUGUGAUCAUAUGGAGCAAGGUGAGGCGGUUACAUGAAUAUGAUGGUUUAUGGUGGAGGCUAGGCCUGUGUUUUAUGCUGUUUAAUAUACUUGUUGAGUUGUUUCAUGUUUCCAAAAGGUAUUUUAAUCAUUUUGUUAACCUGGAGAUUGCUGUAAUUUUUGAAGAACUGAGCUAAACCAUCAAAAACUGGGUCAAGUUAAUUGUCCUGUUUUUCUAAAACAAAUUCACAAUGCCACUGCAUAAGAGAACAAAUAUAAUUUAAUGCAUAUAAUCUAUCUAAUUUAUAAUGCUUGUGAAGUGCUAUUUGUAAUAACUUUUAUUUUGACAUUUUGAUAUAUAAUAAGAGAUCCCAAAGCCUGAUAGCUGGUUACUUUACUCCUCAUCAUGUCAAUUCAUUGACUUUGGAUUUUUUUUUCUUUUUUUAAAAUUUUAUAAUGCAUUUCUCAUAACCAUCUGGAAACAAGAUGCAAGUUGUGAGUCUAGCCAAAGUCAUUUCCUGAUUAUGGUAUUCUUUUGUCGGAAAUUAAGUUAAACUGAAUGUGCAAUUUGUGCCUUGAGUUUUGUCUAAGGAGUGAAUAUUUUGAAUAACGAAGAUACACCUCUGUCCAAUAAGUAAAUGAAAUAAAACUCACCGAGGCUUACCCAGAUGCUUCAACUAUGGCCAUUAUAGGUGAUUAUUACUAAGUAGUUUGUUAUAUUUUGAAAUCAGAUCCUUGUUAUGCUGCGUUCCAUGAUGAAGAAUGGGGAGUUCCAGUACAUGAUGACAAGAAAUUGUUUGAGCUUCUUGCUCUUUCGGGUGCUUUGGCUGAACUUACUUGGCCUGCCAUUCUAAGCAAAAGACACAUAUUUAGGGAAGUUUUUGCAGAUUUUGAUCCAAUUUCUGUCUCAAAAUUUAAUGAGAAAAAGAUGAUGGCACCAGGAAGCACUGCAAUCUCCUUAUUAUCAGAAGUUAAAUUGCGUGCAAUCAUUGAGAAUGCGCGCCAAAUAUCCAAGGUUUCAUUGAUGACAGGUCAUAGAUGAGUUUGGGUCAUUUGACAAGUAUAUUUGGAGCUUUGUUAACUACAAGCCUAUAGUUAGUAGAUUCCGGUAUCCUCGUCAGAUUCCUGUCAAAACUCCAAAAGCAGAUGUAAUAAGCAAAGAUCUAGUUAGAAGAGGAUUUCGCGCUGUAGGGCCGACAGUUGUCUACUCAUUCAUGCAGGUAGCGGGGUUAACAAACGAUCAUCUCAGGAGUUGCUUCAGAUUUCAGGAGUGUAUAAAUGCAGCAGAAGGGAAAGACGAAAAUGGGGUUGGCAAGGUUGAAGGUAUGAUAACUGAUGUUGUCAUGGAGUCCAAAUUAUCUAUAGCCAUGGAUGAAUUGAGUUUCUCGUCAGAAUGAUGGUGGCACGGAUAGCAGCAGAUUCAAUCAUCAGUUUAUCCUAGUAACUAAUUCACGGCAAUGAAGGUGUUCUUGUGUAUAAAAUUUCAUGAAUUCUUAUGUGUCAUGAAUUCCUAGAUUUUGUAGAUUACUAAAAGUGAAUUAAUCAACUGAUGAUUGUUCUCUGUUGGUGGGACAGCUCCAGAUAUUGGGCUGUGCAAUUGGUCAUUCAAUUCAGUUUAGAACUGAAUUGAAAUAAUCAAUUAAUCAAAUAACCAAAAGGAAAAAUUCUAUAAAUCGAAUCAAAUUGAAAUUAACAAUAAAAUCAAAUCAAAUUGAAUUUUUUUU
rnacentral:misc_RNA from 1 species